rnacentral:lncRNA from 1 species
UAUUAUUAACCCACAAAGGGGUGUGGUCAAAUGAUUUGCUGCUGAUAAAUAGGCAGAACACAAACUCAUCAUUACACUAUUGUCUUUCUACAUUAAAUCAACCUCUUCAUCCUUCUUAUCAUUCAGUUAGGCCUCAUUUGGGGACGACAGGUAGCCUAGUGGUUAGAGUGGAGGGGCGGCAGGUAGCCUAGUGGUUAGAGUGGAGGGACCGUCAGGUAGCCUAGUGGUUAGAGUGGAGGGACGGCAGGAAGCCUAGUGGUUAGAGUGUAGAGGCGGCAGGUAGCCUAGUGGUUAGAGUGGAGGGGCGGCAGGAAGCCUAGUGGUUAGAGUGUAGAGGCGGCAGGUAGCCUAGUGGUUAGAGUGGAGGGGCGGCAGGUAGCCUAGUGGUUAGAGUGUAGAGGUGGCAGGUAGCCUAGUGGUUAGAGUGUAGAGGUGGCAGGUAGUCUAGUGGUUAGAGUGUAGAGGCGGCAGGUAGUCUAGUGGUUCGAGUGUAGAGGCGGCAGGUAGCCAAAUGGUUAGAGUGUUGAGCCAGUACUUGAAAGGUUGCUGGAUCGAAUCCCC